rnacentral:rRNA from 1 species
UACAGAGGGUGCAAGCGUUAAUCGGAAUUACUGGGCGUAAAGCGUGCGUAGACGGUUACAUAAGUCGGGUGUGAAAGCCCCGGGCUCAACCUGGGAAUUGCAUUCGAGACUGCGUAGCUAGGGUGCGGAAGAGGGAAGCGGAAUUUCUGGUGUAGCGGUGAAAUGCGUAGAUAUCAGAAGGAACAUCAGUGGCGAAAGCGGCUUCCUGGUCCAGCACCGACGUUCAGGCACGAAAGCGUGGGGAGCAAACAGG